rfam:Oscillatoriales cyanobacterium JSC-12 chromosome, whole genome shotgun sequence.
GUUCUACUACGGCGUUGGUGACUGCCAAUAAUGUUUUAUGAUCUAUGCUGUUUGAAUAAGGGAACUAUUCGCUGGAUGGCAGUAGACCGGGCUUGUACCCGGAAACUUUAAGUCACAGCUCUUGGUGCCCACCUGGAGUUGCUCCAGGUCAAAAACUGAGGUAAGACGGCGUUGUGGUGAACUC